AUUGAACGCUGGCGGCAGGCCUAACACAUGCAAGUCGAGCGAGCGGCGGACGGGUGAGUAAUGUAUGGGAAACUGACCGAUAGAGGGGGAUAACUACUGGAAACGGUGACUAAUACCGCAUACUAUCGGAUGAACACAGAUGGGAUUAGCUAGUUGGUGGGGUAAAGGCUCACCUAGGCGACGAUCGCUAGCGGGUCUGAGAGGAUGACCAGCCACACUGGGACUGCUACACUGCCCAGAUUCCUACGGGAGGCAGCAGUGGGAAAGAUUGCACAAUGGGCGCAAGCCUGAGACAGCCAUGCCGCGUGUAUGAAGAAGGCCUUAGGGUUGUAAAGUACUUUCAUCGGGGAGGCGUUACCCGCAGAAGAAGCACCGGCUAACUCCGUGCCAGCCGCCGCGGUAAUAC
rnacentral:rRNA from 1 species